rnacentral:rRNA from 2 species
GGCACAGAACGAACGCUGGUCCCAGGCCUAACACAUGCAAGUCGAACGCCCGUAGCAAUACGGGAGUGGCAGACUGGCCCGUAACGCGUGGGAACGUGCCCUUCGGUUCGGAAUAACUCAGGGAAACUUGAGCUAAUACCGGAUACGUCCGUAAGGAGAAAGAUUUAUCGCCGAAGGAUCGGCCCGCGUCCGAUUAGCUAGUUGGUGAGGUAACGGCUCACCAAGGCGACGAUCGGUAGCUGGUCUGAGAGGAUGAUCAGCCACACUGGGACUGAGACACGGCCCAGACUCCUACGGGAGGCAGCAGUGGG